rnacentral:tRNA from 1 species
GGGAGAGUGUCCCGAGUGGCAAAGGGGGAGGACUGUAAAUCCUCUGGCUACGCCUUCGUAGGUUCGAGUCCUACCUCUCCCACCA